CACAACUCAAAGCUUUUCUGUCGGGCUCUCGGAAAUUAAAUCACAGGCACAACACAGACCCAUCACAAUAACAUACACAUACACAACCAUACUCAACAAAAUUGUUCAAGUUUACCCAGCCGAGAGGGUGAAAGAAAUUUUCAUUUCAUUACAAAAUCGAUCGCACGAUGGCGCUACUGCUUCAAUACACUAUUUGGUCGACAUGGAAUUAGUCGUUUAGAAAAUUAAAGUUAUUUUAUUUCAAUCGAUUUGUUUGGUCAAAAAAGUGUUACCUUGGCUUUUAAAAUAUUGUAUAUUUCAUCUGGAUAUAAGAUCCUUGAAAAUCAAUGGUUUUGUAAGCAACGAAAUAUUAAAAGAAAAACCAUAAAAGUCAAAUGUGUACUUUCUGUGAGGAAGAGGCUUUGAAGAAAUUGUGAAGAACAAAAAAAUAUAUACCUAUUUGCUAUGUUAAUGAAAGUGUAAAAUGUGCAAAAAGAAUAAGUAUUUAAUCAAAGGAAAAAAGGAUAUAAACAAUAAAUUUGAUGAUAUUUUUGAAGAGCUUGCACCAUAAAACAAGGAAACAGUCUUUUGAAUAGAAAAAAACUUUCGAAACCAAAGCUCGUGCGAAAGACAAUAAAAUCCACACGAACCCGACGGAUAGAACCCACUUUGCCAGGCAGAUAA